GGUUGAUCCUGCCAGUAUUAUAUGCUGAUGUUAAAGAUUAAGCCAUGCAUGUGUAAGUAAAAAGACCAAGAAGGAUGAAACUGCGGACGGCUCAUUACAACAGUUAUAGUUUAUUUGGUUAAAGUGAUAAGGAUAACUCUGUUAAUUGUAGAGCUAAUACUUGAGACCAUCAGUGUGACAUUGCGCACUGAGCGACCACACUUGAUGUGGGAGCACACAUAUUCCUUUUCUGAAUAAGGGAAUAAAGACAAUUGUAGAAAUCAGGGAUUUUAAGAAGUAACCAAUGAGAAUA
rnacentral:rRNA from 1 species